rnacentral:rRNA from 1 species
CCCUUAGAUGUUCUGGGCCGCACGCGCGCUACACUGUUCGACGCAGCGAGUCUUAACCUUGACCGAAAGGUUUGGGUAAUCUUCAGCAAAGUCGAACGUGAUGGGGAUCGAUCAUUGCAAUUAUUGAUCGUGAACGAGGAAUUCCUAGUAAGUGCAAGUCAUCAGCUUGCGCUGAUUACGUCCCUGCCCUUUGUACACACCGCCCGUCGCUACUACCGAUUGAAUGGUUUAGUGAGAUCUCUGGAUUGACGCUGGCUAGGGGGCGACCCUUGGCCAGACUGUUGAGAAACUACUCAAACUUGAUCAUUGAGAGGAAGUAAAAGUCGUAACA